rfam:Rhodobacter sp. SW2 ctg00031, whole genome shotgun sequence.
AUUUCCGACAGCAAGAUGCCCGACAUGCAGGCGGGCUGGGAGCAGGCGAUCACCAACACCCUGGCCGGGCUUUCCGGGCUGAACAUGGUCUAUGAGGCGG